rnacentral:rRNA from 1 species
GACGAAGGAUGCAAGCGUUAUCCGGAUUCAUUGGGUUUAAAGGGAGCGUAGGUAGUCUUAUAAGUCAGUGGUGAAAUCUCUCAGCUUAACUGAGAAAUUGCCAUUGAUACUGUAGGACUUGAGUAUAGUUGCCGUCGGCGGAAUAUGACAUGUAGUGGUGAAAUACAUAGAGAUGUCAUAGAACACCGAUUGCGAAGGCAGCUGACGAAACUAUAACUGACACUGAGGCACGAAAGUGCGGGGAUCAAACAGG